ensembl:lncRNA
AAUCACAUGUCAUUCUUCCUAGCCCUGAUUUACAAACUUUACAGAGUGCUACUGACUAUGAACAUUUGCUCCAGUGGUGGGAUUUCAAGUAUUUAGGAAGUUUGAGGGAGAUACAUUUUUUUAAAUAGACAUCUUCCUAAAAAAAAAAAAAAAAGUGCUUUUGAAAUAGUCUGGAUUACCUUCUUCCCUCUCCUCUUUCAUGCCUCCCUAUGAGAAAAUACACCAGAGGGAACAAGCCUGUAUUGGGAGUGGCUUCCUCUUGGUUUUCAGAGGGUGGCUGUGGGGAAGCAGUAACUUGAAAUAGAAGAGUCCAUGGUUAACAUGCUGAGAAACUAAUCCAGAAUGGAUUUGAGAUCACAUUCAGAACAUCCUCUCCUAUAUUGGCUGGCAGACUCAAUGGACUGGAACAAACUCUGCAGUGGACUUAGGUCUUUGAUUCCUUUGAGUAGAGGCAGAGGCUGUGAGAUGUGCGGUGACAUGGAGUCCAAGAAAUCUGUCUUCAGCUCCAGGUUCAUGUCAAGGAAGAGUCAAAGAUUGAGCUGUGAACCUACGUAGAGGAACCUCUGGCAAAACCUUUGAAAGCUGUGCAUCUGUGUGAGAAGAGAAUAUCAGGAAUAGUUAGCAAAAAAUGAACAGCCCUGAUCCAACCCUGUGAUUCUUCUCCUGCCAAGUUCUCCAGUACUCACUGGAUGAUCCAGCAGAGCUUUGGCAGGGCUCUCUCUUAAAGCUUUCUUCCUCCUGUUUACCUGCUGUCCA